CAAUAGCGUAUAUUUAAGUUGUUGCAGUUAAAAAGCUCGUAGUUGGAUUUCGGAUGGGAUUUGCCGGUCCGUCGUUACGAUGUGCACUGGCCAGUCCUAUCUUGUUGUCGGGGACUAGCUCCUUGGAUUCACUUCCUGGGACUAGGGGCUGACGAGGUUACUUUGAGUAAAUUAGAGUGUUCAAAGCAAGCCUACGCUCUGAAUACAUUAGCAUGGAAUAACACGAUAGGACUCUGGCUUAUCUUGUUGGUCUGUGAGACCAGAGUAAUGAUUAAGAGGGACAGUCGGGGACAUUCGUAUUUCAUUGUCAGAGGUGAAAUUCUUGGAUUUAUGAAAGACGAACUUCUGCGAAAGCAUUUGUCAAGGAUGUUUUCAUUAA
rnacentral:rRNA from 1 species